CACGUAGGCACCAAGCGUUGUCCGGAUUUAUUGGGCGUAAAGAGCUCGUAGUCGGUUGAGUAAGUCGGGUGUGAAAACUCUGGGCUUAACCCAGAGCCGCCACUCGAUACUGCUCUGACUUGAGUUCGGUAGGGGAGCAGGGAAUUCCUAGUGUAGCGGUGAAAUGCGCAGAUAUUAGGAGGAACACCGGUGGCGAAGGCGCUGCUCUGGGCCGAAACUGACGCUGAGGAGCGAAAGCGUGGGUAGCAAACAGG
rnacentral:rRNA from 1 species